AUGGCCAGCGCGGGUCAAAGUGUAGUAUCUGUCCUUAUCAGCUUAAUAUCUGAUACGGGUUGUAUUUGAGCCUGCGAUAUUAAACCAAUUUUUCUUAUUAUUUUUGCAACUUGGCGGAGUGCUUAAAGCCUUCUUCACCUCCGCCCCAGGUCAGCCCAGUAUUGUACUGUCUUCAGGAUCAGCACACGUAUA